CGGGAUAAUAUAUUUGAGAGGCAUCUCUUAAAUAUCAAAGGUGAGCCAGUACAGGAUGGACCCGCGUCUGAUUAGUUAGUUGGUAAGGUAACGGCUUACCAAGGCGACGAUCAGUAGCCGACCUGAGCGGGUGAUCGGCCACAUUGGAACUGAGACACGGUCCAAACUCCUACGGGAGGCAGCAGUGGGGAAUAUUGCACAAUGGGCGAAAGCCGGAUGCAGCAACGCCGCGUGAGUGAUGAAGGCCUUCGGGUCGUAA
rnacentral:rRNA from 1 species